rnacentral:rRNA from 1 species
AACGAACGCUGGCGGCAGGCUUAACACAUGCAAGUCGAACGCCCCGCCAGGGGAGUGGCCGACGGGUGAGUACCGCGUGGGAACAUACCCUUUUCUACGGAAUAGCUCUGGGAAACUGGAAUUAAUACCGUAUACGCCCUACGGGGGAAAGAUUUAUCGGGGAAGGAUUGGCCCGCGUUGGAUUAGCUAGUUGGUGGGGUAAAGGCCUACCAAGGCGACGAUCCAUAGCUGGUCUGAGAGGAUGAUCAGCCACAUUGGGACUGAGACACGGCCCAAACUCCUACGGGAGGCAGCAGUGGGGAAUAUUGGACAAUGGGCGCAAGCCUGAUCCAGCCAUGCCGCGUGAGUGAUGAAGGCCUUAGGGUUGUAAAGCUCUUUCACCGAUGAAGAUAAUGACGGUAGUCGGAGAAGAAGCCCCGGCUAACUUCGUGC